rnacentral:rRNA from 1 species
AACGAACGCUGGUGGCAUGCCUAACACAUGCAAGUCGAACGAGACCUUCGGGUCUAGUGGCGCACGGGUGCGUAACGCGUGGGAACCUGCCCUUAGGUUCGGAAUAACGUCGGGAAACUGACGCUAAUACCGGAUAAUGUCUUCGGACCAAAGAUUUAUCGCCUUUGGAUGGGCCCGCGUAGGAUUAGCUAGUUGGUGGGGUAAUGGCUCACCAAGGCGACGAUCCUUAGCUGGUCUUAGAGGAUGAUCAGCCACACUGGGACUGAGACACGGCCCAGACUCCUACGGGAGGCAGCAGUGGGGAAUAUUGGACAAUGGGCGAAAGCCUGAUCCAGCAAUGCCGCGUGAGUGAUGAAGGCCUUAGGGUUGUAAAGCUCUUUUACCCGGGAUGAUAAUGACAGUACCGGGAGAAUAAGCCCCGGCUAACUCCGUGCCAGCAGCCGCAGUAA